rnacentral:rRNA from 1 species
GCCCAGACUCCUACGGGAGGCAGCAGUGGGGAAUAUUGGACAAUGGGCGCAAGCCUGAUCCAGCAAUGCCGCGUGAGUGAUGAAGGCCUUAGGGUUGUAAAGCUCUUUUACCCGGGAUGAUAAUGACAGUACCGGGAGAAUAAGCCCCGGCUAACUCCG